GCUGUUUUCUGCAGUGUAGUGUGUUUUGAAACAAUAACAUUCUAAGUAGCAUCAAGCCUCAGGUUCAUUUUGCUACCAUGUACUUGGGUUGUGAACUAUUUUUAUUUUCAUUUCUAUUCUUAUUGUCUAGUCGAUUUACUUCUUUGUUCUAUGUUUGGCUUUUUUAUCUGAAUUCUGACAGUGCAAAAGUUUACAUGAUUCUUUAGGAGUUGGGACAACUUGGUGGUCCUCUCUUUGUAAUGUGGAUCCGCGACUUGGUUUGAAGAAUUAUGCAACUAUUCUUUCUUUCUUCUUGUUUAUUAUUUUACAACUUAUUUUUCACAGCGUAAUCUUUCUGUAAAUGUAUCAUGUGGUGUUGGUAGAGCAAGUUUUACAUGGGUUUGGUGUAUUACAAAAGUCUUCAUCUUUCUCAAUCAC
rnacentral:lncRNA from 1 species